UACGUAGGGGCCUAGGCGUUGUCCGGAUUUAUUGGGCGUAAAGAGCUCGUAGGCGGUUCGGCAAGUCAUGUGUGAAAUCUCCACGCUCAACGUGGAGGGGCCACCUGGAUACUGCCGUGACUCGAGUCCGGUAGGGGAGUGUGGAAUUCCGCGUGUAGCAGUGAAAUGGCGUAGAUAUGCGGAGGAACACCGAUGGCGAAGGCAAUCCCCUG
rnacentral:rRNA from 1 species